AUUUACCAACAAAAUAACUAAAGGAUUAGUCUGAGAAGGAGCAGGUGGAAGCAAAUAGCUUAUUGGGUCCUGCCCCUAUUUCACAAAAUCAUAU